rnacentral:tRNA from 1 species
GGGUAUGUAGCUCAAUGAUAGAGCACUUGCUUGGCAUACAGGAGACUGUGGGUUUGAUUCCCAGCACCA